rnacentral:rRNA from 1 species
UACGAAGGGGGCUAGCGUUGCUCGGAAUCACUGGGCGUAAAGGGUGCGUGGGCGGGUCUUUAAGUCAGGGGUGAAAUCCUGGAGCUCAACUCCAGAACUGCCUUUGAUACUGAGGAUCUUGAGUUCGGGAGAGGUGAGUGGAACUGCGAGUGUAGAGGUGAAAUUCGUAGAUAUUCGCAAGAACACCAGUGGCGAAGGCGGCUCACUGGCCCGAUACUGACGCUGAGGAGCGAAAGCGUGGGGAGCGAACAGG